UACAGAGGUCUCAAGCGUUGUUCGGAUUCAUUGGGCGUAAAGGGUGCGUAGGUGGCGCUGUAAGUCAGGUGUGAAAUUUCGGAGCUCAACUCCGAAACUGCGUUUGAUACUGCGGUGCUUGAGGACUGGAGAGGAGACUGGAAUUCACGGUGUAGCAGUGAAAUGCGUAGAUAUCGUGAGGAAGACCAGUGGCGAAGGCGGGUCUCUGGACAGUUCCUGACACUGAGGCACGAAGGCCAGGGGAGCAAACGGG
rnacentral:rRNA from 1 species